AAUAUCCAAAAAUUCUACUAGGUUCCACUGUUGGAUUAGUGAUCAGACGUACAGCAGCACUGUGCGUAUCAUAUAUUCCGCCAAAAAACAUCGCCUUGGCAACUAAUAGCAAUGCACCCAAACCUAAAAUAAUCAAAUGAUGUCCUAAAAUCAACCCCAAUUGUUUUGGAUCAUCCCA
rnacentral:antisense_RNA from 1 species